rnacentral:rRNA from 1 species
AUUGAACGCUGGCGGCAGGCUUAACACAUGCAAGUCGAGCGGGGUGAUGGUGCUUGCACUAUCACUUAGCGGCGGACGGGUGAGUAAUGCUUAGGAAUCUGCCUAUUAGUGGGGGACAACAUCUCGAAAGGGAUGCUAAUACCGCAUACGUCCUACGGGAGAAAGCAGGGGAUCACUUGUGACCUUGCGCUAAUAGAUGAGCCUAAGUCGGAUUAGCUAGUUGGUGGGGUAAAGGCCUACCAAGGCGACGAUCUGUAGCGGGUCUGAGAGGAUGAGCCGCCACACUGGGACGGAGACACGGCCCUGACUCCUACGGGAGGCAGCAGUGGGGAAUAUUGGACAAUGGGGGGAGCCCUGAUCCAGCCAUGCCGCGUGUGUGAAGAAGGCCUUAUGGUUGUAAAGCACUUUAAGCGAGGAGGAGGCUCUUUUGGUUAAUACCCAAGAUGAGUGGACGUUACUCGCAGAAUAAGCACCGGCUAACUCUGUGCCAGCCGCCGCGGUAA